UACACAUUUUGUAGACCUUUAGGAACAGAAAUUGCAUUCCACACACACACACACACACACAUAUGUAUAUAUAUAUAUAUUUAUAUGUAUAUAUGCUGGCAUUAAGAGUUUUAUAAUGCCUAUUCACAUUAUGAAAAUAGGAAUGCAUUCAAGAUAUAUAAACAUUUUAAUAGUUAGACAGACAGACAGAUGAAAGGCAGACAGACAGACAGACAGACAGACAGAUAGAUAGAUAGAUAGAUAGAUAGAUAGAUAGAUAGAUAGAUAGAUAGAUAGAUAGAUAGGCAGGCAGGCAGACAGACAGACAGACAGACAGACAGACGCCCCCACCCCGACCCAUAAUUCACACUCUGUAUGGACACAUCUUAUGUGUAGACCUCACCAGUGUUUAAUAGCAAAUUCUUAGUCCCAUGUUAAUAUAAACUCAUAUAACCACUAUACCUGAUUAUUAUCUAUUGUCUGAAUCUACAUUAUGUCUAAUUACGAUAUUAUUACCCAAUUCAGAUGACAAUUCCUACAUUAAGGAUCAAGUUUGUCACAUAAACUCUUUGCAUGUUUUAUCUCUUCUCCAAAUGCUCAAUGCUGCCCAGGUCUAUUAAAUACAGUUAUUAGCUUUUGCACGAAUCUAUUUCCAUGCCGACUAAACAAAGCUGUGAUUUUUCCCCCCACGACGCUGCUGUAUUAGGGCAAUGUGACGUCAUGGACUGUAUGUGACUGUACGCAGCGCGUGCCGCGGAGCGCGUGCUCCGAGCACAUGGAAAAAGGCUCGAGACGAAGUACCCAAAGAAAAACUCCAUACUGAAAUGGAAUAUCAUUCACAAAAUAAUCAAAUCUGGAGCAAAAGGGAUACGGUUGCUCCUUUACACUUAAGGAAGAUUAAGGAAAAAAGUCCAACACCGUGGUAUAAUGACCACAUUCGCGCCCUAAAGAGAGCAGCUUGGAAAAUGGAGCACAGCUGGAGGAAAACAAAACUAGAGACCUUCAGAACAGCUGCUAGUCAGCCUGUCGUUCUCUCAACGGAAGCCUGAAACCGGAGCCAUGAGUGAAUGCCAAACUUUUCAGGAAAAGACCUACAUGUUCUGCCCCCUGUGAGCUGACAACUCCUUGCCAUCAAAGUCAACGAUGCCGCUUUGCUGCGAAGAGAUGAAGAUCUGCUGUUGCCUGCGGACAGCUGGGUUUUACACAGUGGGUGCAAAGAUGUGAAAGAGGGUAAGGAAUGCUCUGGUAUUUGGAGUUCACAUGAAUUCAGCAUCAGGGCUAUGCAGUUUUUUCCCACAUAAAUACAUUUAUUUCUACGCUUUGUACAUUAAACUUGUUGCAACAUCCCUAUUCUCAAACUGAUUUUCAUUCCAAAUACAAAUUUGUAACAUUAUAAAUGAUAAUUGUAAUUUGAUAAAUUGUUUAUUGAUGCAUCUUUUGUGUGACUAUUUAUGUGAAGUUUGCUGUUAUAAGCAUAAGCCAUUAGUUAUAGUUAAAAUAGAUACCUAGAAGCCAGUUUCGCGAUUAUUAGCAUCUGUCGAUAACCAAUCCUCUUUGGCUGAUUGAAUAAUAAACAUUUUGUUUUCAAUAAUUGUUUUGUCUUU
ensembl:lncRNA